rnacentral:rRNA from 1 species
UUGAACGCUGGCGGCAUGCCUUACACAUGCAAGUCGAACGGUAACAGGUCUUCGGAUGCUGACGAGUGGCGAACGGGUGAGUAAUGUAUCGGAACGUACCCAGUCGUGGGGGAUAACUAACCGAAAGGUUUGCUAAUACCGCAUACGACCUGAGGGUGAAAGCGGGGGAUCGCAAGACCUCGCGCGAUUGGAGCGGCCGAUAUCGGAUUAGCUAGUUGGUGAGGUAAAGGCUCACCAAGGCGACGAUCCGUAGCGGGUCUGAGAGGACGACCCGCCACACUGGAACUGAGACACGGUCCAGACUCCUACGGGAGGCAGCAGUGGGGAAUUUUGGACAAUGGGGGAAACCCUGAUCCAGCCAUUCCGCGUGAGUGAAGAAGGCCUUCGGGUUGUAAAGCUCUUUCAGCAGGAACGAAACGGUCAGCUCUAAUAAAGUCGGCUAAUGACGGUACCUGCAGAAGAAGCACCGGCUAACUACGU